rnacentral:lncRNA from 1 species
UUUGAUAUUUUUUUUAGUUAAUUAAGCUAAUUUUAAAGCAUAGCUAGUCAUAAGGCCCAAGUUUCUAGCCCGUUCCUUAAGCCCAAUACCCAAUACCCAUUAAGUUAAUCCUAGGGACCCUUCUAGACUCUUCUUUGGAACAAAUAAAUAAAUAAAAAGACCCUAAGGACCUAGGACAAUUAACACAAAAAUACACAUUUAGACCUAGAUCUAUAUAAUAGGGGUAAUGCUUAAUGCUGAAGGGGACGAAAAUACACACACAAAAAUAACGCCUGGGAAAGAGCUGAAAAGCUGUGCCGGUAACAGAACGACCUCCCCCAUCGUUCUUCACCAUCUUCAGCAUCGUCAAAACUUGAACACCCAAAACAACACACACCCAUAUAAACGGACACACACACAAAGAACGCCAGAAAUCAGCGACACACCAGACUUGCAAGCUUCUUAGCUGUCGUUGCUGGAAACCGGCCAGCUCUCACCCUUUCCAUGGCUGCCGCUGCCGGAGGUGAUGACCGGCGACGGCUAUGACUGUCACUCUUGUGCUUAGCCGCUGUUUCUGACCUUUCUUUCCCCUCUACUUCUCUGUUUCACUGGAGUCGCACCAUCGACGUCGAACGAACAUAAAACCGGCGAUAGUCGUCGAAACUGUUGAAAUUUGUUUCUGCUUAGUUGUAUCGAAAUUAAGGUGUGGAUGUCAUUCGAGGUUGUCCGUUCGAGAUUUCCGGGCAGAUUCGUGGUUCGUUGAGGUUCCGAUCGUAGUCCGAAAUCGGAUCUAGAUUGUUGUUUUUGCUCUAAAUCUUGUAAGGUCCAAAUUCCUUUCGGAUUUCUGCUUGGCGAGAAUUCUUUAAGGUCCAUUUCUAACUGUACUCUUCAAUGUUUUUGUAUGAUUCAUGUGAAUGAGUUUGAUAAAAAUGGUUAGCUUAUGUGCCUUGAAAUUUUAUCUUGAUAUGCAAUUUGGUUAAAUAAGAUCUGCUGCUAAUGAGCAUGUGUGUGAAGUUCUGUUUGAUUGAUUUACUAGAGUUAAAUAUUUUAUCUAAGUUGAAUAGGCUAUGUUGAAAACUGAAAGAGUCCAACGAACUCAUUUCAUCUACUAGAUGGAGUAAGGCAGUAACCAUGUUUGAGGACAAAGAACGGUUCUAGGCCGUUGAACGAGAAGCUGAUCGUGAAGAUCUCUUCAGUACUUUAUUCAAUUAAUUAUGAUUUUUGAGAAGCUUUCUUUCGAUACCAAAAAAGAACAAAGGAGUGUGAAGUGAAAUCAGGAAGUUGGAUAAUGUAUAUAGUGUUGAAAUUGACAAUGAAAUAAGAUAUCAGUAGCUUAUGACUUCGUCAUUUACAACCGAUAAUAAUUGGUUUGGUUGGUUGAAAUGUGAGGUAGUUCAUUUUACUUUUAUUUUUAUCAAUAUAGAUUCGCUAGUAGUAUGUAUUUAUGACAUUUCCGUGGCAUAAUUAUGGGUUCCAAAAUUAAGAUCGGAGUAUGCGUUCGCGCAACUUCGAAAAAACUUUCUUAAUAAUAGAAUGGGUUUGCAUAGGCUACUAAUUAAUUUAGUUCAUCUAGACUUGGGGUGUGCCAUUUAGUGAAUUUUUCAUGGCCCUCGCAAACUUGAAAGUGCGUAGUUGCUUUAGGCGCGUAAUUUAAAUUAACUUCCUUAAACUCGGGUGUGCAUUUCGUGUGACCCAAACCAAAUCUCAACGCUAGAUAAAAUGUGUCACAGACUGCGGGUGCAUUUCAUGUGGCGUGGUCCAAGGUGCGUUUUAAAUAGCGUUGAAUCUUCUUAAAAAAUGACUAAAAGCGGUUAAUAAAUUAAAAUCUACCAUAGGUUAAAACAUGUUUUAAAAUCAGAUAAUCAGGCCAAUAAUAACAGUUGAGCCACCGUGCUAGAACCACGGAACUUGGGAAUGCCUAACACCUUCUCCCGGGUUAACAGAAUUCCUUACCCGAAUUUCUACGUUCGCGGACUGUAAAACAGAGUCAAUCUUUUCCUCGAUUCGGGAUUUGAACCGGUGACUUGGGACACCAUAAAUUAUACCCAAGUGGCGACUCUGAAUUUGAUUAAAUAAUCUCGUUUCGAUUGUCACUUAAAUUGAAAAAACUCCCUUACUUCUUCUCGGGGUGUAGUAAAAAGGAGGUGUGACAACUCUAGCGACUGUGCUGGGGACAAGAACCCAGAACCUCUGGUUCAGGGUUCAAGAAUUCGAGCUUAGAUGAAUUGUUAUAUUUGGCUUUAUUUAUUAUCUAAUUUUGUUACAUGUUUGGGCCUAAUGUGCUAAAUAUUUCUUUUACCGCUUUGAUAUUCUGUGAACUGUAUAUAAAUUGUUACGAAACUCUCCUCUCUCUGAGUCUUCUAAAUCAUCUGGGAAGUGUGCACUUCGUGUGACUUCUAUUCUGUUAGAGUCAUAUUCCAAUUUUAGAACGAGGUUCGGACAAGUUGCAAAGCCAGUGAAGCUUCCGUAUUCCCGGUACGCUGCCCCCCUAGGCUCGAGCUGUCCGCUCGGGUAAGCCAGGUCUAAAACAAAUAAACCCAGGUUUUUAAACCUAGAAUAACAUAGCCUCAUGCCGGAUCCCUAGUAGUAACGUUUGUUGCAUCACGUGCAUUUGACUUUGGGGGCUCAACACAGGGGUUGGGUCCGUCUAGGACAGGUGUACCCAAAAUAACAGACCAUCUUGAUGCAUCCUACGUGCUACAUGUUGCAUUUCUUCAAGGGUAAAAGGGUCAUUUGGCGGACCAAUGAUAGUUGAGGGCAAAUGAAAAGAAAGAAAAAAAAGAAAAAAAAGUGAAAUAUAAAAAUGAAGCAAGUGGGGCUCAGUUACAAUUUUCUUUCACACUUUUUCAAGAAAAAAAAUUGAAAAGGAAAAAUCCAAAAAAAAGAGUUUGCACUUUUCCCGUCAUUUUUAAAAAAAGGAAAAAUAAAAAAAAUAGAAAAAGAAAAUCCAAAAAGAGUUUACAUGUUUCAUCAUUUUUUCCAAAAAAGAAAGAGAACAGAAAACAUAUUUUCUCUAAAUUACUUGUUUUUUUUAAUUUUCGCUUGUAUCCAAUCUGCCCGAACUACGCAUACCUGAUUCUCGUCUUUUGGGGCGUGAUACGUAGGCAACCCACAUAGGGUCCGGUCUUCCUAGUAAAUCUUAGGUUCUUGGCUUUGCGGGAUCUUAGCCAAUUUUGCACUUCUAGCCACAUUUUGGCCAAACAACCCAUUUUGCAAAAAUAGCCUCAACCAUGUCUUGCAUGUGUCUAGUAGGGAAUGUUAUUGUCUCACAUAGUGUUGGUUUCAGUUUUCUCAUAUAGGUAUGGAUUUACUUACUGGAGUUUGAGCAUGAUAGAGCCCCAGGACCAUUUAGUCAGGAUCGCUCAUUCAGGAGUGGAUUAAAAGGAGAUUUUCUUUUCUUGUUUAUGUCUUGAGUUUGUUUUCCCUUUUUAUGUUGUCUUUUGCCUUCUUGUUUGGUAUAGUAAUGUCGAGUUUUUUUUAUUAUUGUACUUU